GGGAGGCGGCCGGACGCCGUUGAACUGGGAGAUGAGGUCCGGCAUCGCCCUCACAUUUUUAUUUAUUUUCAACUGGUGCAGCUACCGGAUCAGGCUGCCUAUUGAAAAGGAGCAAGAGAUGAAGUUUUCAAAGGAUGUUAAGAAGAAGAGAUUUUAUGAGAAUAACUGAAGUAUUGAAUGUUUAUUAUUUUUUUUACAAAUAUUCUUAGUGGCUUCAUGAACAAUGUUUGGAUGUAAUGUUGGUCGAACGAUGUUUGAAUGAAUUUAUGAUUUUUUACUAUUAAUAAAU
rnacentral:lncRNA from 1 species